rnacentral:rRNA from 1 species
AUUGAACGCUGGCGGCAUGCCUUACACAUGCAAGUCGAACGGUAACAGGUUAAGCUGACGAGUGGCGAACGGGUGAGUAAUAUAUCGGAACGUGCCCAGUCGUGGGGGAUAACGUAGCGAAAGCUACGCUAAUACCGCAUACGAUCUACGGAUGAAAGCGGGGGAUCGCAAGACCUCGCGCGAUUGGAGCGGCCGAUAUCAGAUUAGGUUGUUGGUGAGGUAAAAGCUCACCAAGUCUGCGAUUUGUAGCUGGUCUGAGAGGACGACCAGCCACACUGGAACUGAGACACGGUCCAGAAUCCUACGGGAGGCAGCAGUGGGGAAUUUUGGACAAUGGACGCAAGUCUGAUCCAGCAAUGCCGCGUGCAGGACGAAGGCCUUCGGGUUGUAAACUGCUUUUGUACGGAACGAAACGGUGAGCUAUAAUAUAGUUGGCUAAUGACGGUACCGCAAGAAUAAGCACCGGCUAACUACGUGCCAGCCGCCGCGGUAA